rnacentral:rRNA from 1 species
UGGGGGAUAUUGCACAAUGGGCGAAAGCCUGAUGCAGCGACGCCGCGUGGGGGAUGAAGGCUUUCGGGUUGUAAACCUCUUUCGCUAUCGAACAAGGCCCGCUUAGGGUGGGUUGAGGGUAGGUGGAGAAGAAGCGCCGGCUAACUACGUGCCAGCAGCCGCGGUAAUACGUAGGGCGCGAGCGUUGUCCGGAAUUAUUGGGCGUAAAGGGCUUGUAGGCGGCUUGUUGCGCCUUCUGUGAAAACGCGGGGCUUAACUUCGCGCGUGCAGGGGGUACGGGCAGGCUUGAGUGUGGUAGGGGUGACUGGAAUUCCAGGUGUAGCGGUGGAAUGCGCAGAUAUCUGGAGGAACACCGAUGGCGAAGGCAGGUCACUGGGCCAUUACUGACGCUGAGGAGCGAAAGCAUGGGUAGCGAGCAGG